rnacentral:rRNA from 1 species
UACAGAGGUCUCAAGCGUUGUUCGGAUUCAUUGGGCGUAAAGGGUGCGUAGGCGGCGCGGUAAGUCGGGUGUGAAAUCUCGGAGCUUAACUCCGAAACUGCAUUCGAUACUGCCGUGCUUGAGGACUGGAGAGGAGACUGGAAUUUACGGUGUAGCGGUGAAAUGCGUAGAUAUCAGGAAGAACACCAACGGCGAAGGCAGCUCGCUGGGACGGUACUGACGCUGAGGCGCGAAAGCGUGGGGAGCAAACAGG